GACGUAGGGGGCUAGCGUUGUUCGGAAUCACUGGGCGUAAAGGGCGCGUAGGCGGCCAUAUAAGUCGGGGGUGAAAGCCUGUGGCUCAACCACAGAAUUGCCUUCGAUACUGUAUGGCUCGAGACCGGAAGAGGUAAGUGGAACUGCGAGUGUAGAGGUGAAAUUCGUAGAUAUUCGCAAGAACACCAGUGGCGAAGGCGGCUUACUGGCCCGAUACUGACGCUGAGGUGCGAAAGCGUGGGGAGCAAACAGG
rnacentral:rRNA from 1 species